rnacentral:rRNA from 1 species
UACGUAGGGGGCAGGCGUUGUCCGGAUUUAUUGGGCGUAAAGAGCGUGUAGGCGGCCAGAUAGGUCCGUUGUGAAAACUCGAGGCUCAACCUUGAGACGCCGAUGGAAACCAUUUGGCUAGAGUCCGGAAGAGGAGAGUGGAAUUCCUGGUGUAGCGGUGAAAUGCGCAGAUAUCAGGAAGAACACCCGUGGCUAAGGCGGCUCUCUAGUACGGUACUGACGCUGAGACGCGAAAGCGUGGGGAGCGAACAGG